CUGAAGAGAGGAGCUUGCUCUUCUUGGAAGAGUUGCGAACGGGUGAGUAACGCGUAGGUAACCUGCCUUGUAGCGGGGGAUAACUAUUGGAAACGAUAGCUAAUACCGCAUAACAAUGGGUGACCCAUGUCAUUCAUUUGAAAGGGGCAACUGCUCCACUACAAGAUGGACCUGCGUUGUAUUAGCUAGUAGGUGAGGUAACGGCUCACCUAGGCGACGAUACAUAGCCGACCUGAGAGGGUGAUCGGCCACACUGGGACUGAGACACGGCCCAGACUCCUACGGGAGGCAGCAGUAGGGAAUCUUCGGCAAUGGGGGCAACCCUGACCGAGCAACGCCGCGUGAGUGAAGAAGGUUUUCGGAUCGUAAAGCUCUGUUGUAAGUCAAGAACGAGUGUGAGAGUGGAAAGUUCACACUGUGACGGUAGCUUACCAGAAAGGGACGGCUAACUACGUGCCAGCAGCCGCGGUAAUACGUAGGUCCCGAGCGUUGUCCGGAUUUUAUUUGGCGUAAAGCGAGCGCAGGCGGGUUUGAUUAGUUCUUGAAGUUAAAGGCUGUGGGCUCAACCAAUAGUUCCGCUUUGGAAAACUGUCAAAACUUGGAGUGCAGAAGGGGGAGAGUGGAAUUCCAUGUGGUAGCGGUGAAAAUGCGUAGAUAUAUGGAGGAACCACCGGGUGGCGAAAGCGGCUCUCUGGUCUGUAACUGACGCUGAGGCUCGAAAGCGUGGGGGAGCGAACAGGAUUAGAUACCCUGGUAGUCCACGCCGUAAACGAUGAGUGCUAGGUGUUGGGUCCUUUCCGGGAUUCAGUGCCGCAGCUAACGCAUUAAGCACUCCGCCUGGGGAGUACGACC
rnacentral:rRNA from 1 species